rnacentral:ncRNA from 1 species
CGCUUCAAAAGCUCUAUAGUUGUAGCGACCGAGGAAUGCAGUGUGUUUUUAUCCCUCGGGAUUUAGGGCGGUUUGUAGGGAUGCAUUUGUGGGGUUAUCUUUGGGGCUAGACAGCUUUGCUGACUAGUUCUGGUGCUCCAUAUGUACGCCUUGCAAGCUGACCAAGAAGCACUUUGGAUGUUGGCGAAAAGGCAUCAAUCGACCCGUCUUGAAACACGGACCAAGGAGUCCAACAUGCAUGCGAGUAUUUGGGAAAAGAUAAACCCAUGUGCGUAAUGAAAGUGAAUUUUAUUUAGAAUGUGACCUGCUUUAUUGUGGGGCAACAUCAACCGACUUUAGAUAGCGCUGCUUGAAAAGGUUGAGUAAGAGCAUGUAUGCUGGGACCCGAAAGAUGGUGAACUAUGCCUGAAUAGGGUGAAGUCAGAGGAAACUCUGAUGGAAGCUCGUAGAGAUUCUGACGUGCAAAUCGAUCUCAAAAUUUGGGUAUAGGGGCGAAAGACUAAUCGAACCAUCUAGUAGCUGGUUCCUGCCGAAGUUUCCCUCAGGAUAGCAGAGACUGGAAUAUAAUUUAAAGCAGUUUUAUGAGGUAAAGCGAAUGAUUAGAGGCCUUGGGGAUGUAACAUCCUUAACCUAUUCUCAAACUUUAAAUGCGUAAGAAGCUCCAGUUACUUGAUUGAACUGGUGGCCAAUUUCGAAUGCAUCAGUCUCUAGUGGGCCAUUUUUGGUAAGCAGAACUGGCGAUGCGGGAUGAACCGAACGUAGAGUUAAGGUGCCUAAAUUCACGCUCAUGUAGACACCAUAAAAGGUGUUAGUUCAUCUAGACAGCAGGGCGGUGGCCAUGGAAGUCGGAAUCCGCUAAGGAGUGUGUAACAACUCACCUGCCGAAUGAACUAGCCCUGAAAAUGGAUGGCGCUCAAGCGUGAUACCGAUACUCUACCGCCAAAAUUAUAAGAACGUUUUGGCGAGUAGGCAGGCGUGGGGGUUCGUAGCGAAGCUGUGGGCGUAAGCUCCAGUGGAACAACCUCUAGUGCAGAUCUUGGUGGUAGUAGCAAGUAUUCAAAUGAGAACUUUGAAGACUGAAGUGGGGAAAGGUUCCGAGUGAACAGCAGUUGGACUCGGGUUAGUCGAUUCUAAGAGAUAGGGUAGUUCCGUUUUAAAGUAGCGAGCAAUUACGAUAUUUGACUUUUACUCUCGGGUAGAUUUUGACUUUUUUGCUCCACCUAUCGAAAGAGAAACCGGUUAAUAUUCCGGUACCAGGAUUGUGGGUGAUGUAUUGCGGCAACGCAAAUGAACUUGGAGACGCCAGCAAGAACCCUGGAAAGAGUUUUCUUUUCUUUUUAACAGCUGUAUUAAAAAUUUUUUCUGCGAAAGCAGGAAAGAGGACCCUGGAAUCAGAUUAUCUGGAGAAAGGGUUCAAAAGCUGGUAAAGCAGGUCAUUUUUUUGACUUGUCCGGAGUGUUCUUGAUGGCCCUUGAAAAUCCAAGGGAAAUAAUCAGCUUCACGC